AAUCUGUGAUGAUCCUAUCCCGAACCUGAAUUUCUGUUGAAAAUCUUAAUUACGGAUCUGGCUUCUGAGAU
ensembl:snoRNA